UCCUGAGUAAGCUAACAUAAGCUAUUGAGCUCAUAACUCAAAAAUGGUACAAUGCCCUCAUGAA
rnacentral:tRNA from 1 species